GGUUUUUUGUAAUAAUGAAAAAUCUGACCUGCCCAAUGAGAUUUUAAUGGCCGCAGUAUUUUGACUGUGCUAAGGUAGCAUAAUCAUUAGUCUUGUGAUUUGAGACUGGUAUGAAGGGUUGGACGAGGGAACAGCUGUCUUUGUUGCAUUUUGUUGAAAUUGAUAAUGUUGUGAGAAGGCAACUGAUGAGCUGAGGGACGAGAAGACCCUAUUGAGUUUUAUAAGUUUGUUGUAAAAUAGUUAUAGAUUUGUAAUGUUGAUGCAAAAAAUUUAUUUUGCUGGGGCGGUAAUGAAAGAUGAGAAUCUUUCAAACAGAUGUAGGGAGAUGGAUUUUGAGCCAAAUAAUGCUUUAUUUGAAAAUGGGAUCAAAUUACUGUAGGGAUAACAGCGUAAUAUUAUUGGAGAGUUCUUAUUGAUAAUAAAUUUUGCGACCUCGAUGUUGAAUUAAAGUGUCUAUUUGGUGAAGGAGCUAAAUUAGAUAGUCUGUUCGACUAUUAAAUUUUUACA
rnacentral:rRNA from 1 species